UGCAGACAAUGUUUUGGCGUUGCAAUG
rnacentral:piRNA from 1 species